UAAUACAGAGGGGGCAAGCGUUAUUCGGAAUUAUUGGGCGUAAAGGGCGCGUAGGCGGCUUUUCAAGUGACGGGUGAAAUCCCUCGGCUUAACCGAGGAACUGCCUGUCAGACUGGAAGGCUUGAGACCGGGAGAGGUGAGUGGAAUUCCCAGUGUAGCGGUGAAAUGCGUAGAUAUUGGGAGGAACACCAGUGGCGAAGGCGGCUCACUGGACCGGAACUGACGCUGAGGCGCGAAAGCGUGGGGAGCAAACAGGAUUAGAUACCCUGGUAGUCCACGCCGUAAACGAUGAGUGCUUGGUGUAGCGGGUAUCGACCCCUGCUGUGCCGAAGUCAACACAUUAAGCACUCCGCCUGGGGAGUACGGUCGCAAGACUG
rnacentral:rRNA from 1 species